ensembl:lncRNA
GACGAUGUGCCGGGAGUCCGCUGUUGAGUUUUGGACGAAAUGCAUUCUGGGAUAUAUAGCUGUCCCAAGUCUACACCGAUGCAUGCUCGAUAAAACGGGCGGAUCGAGAACACAUCCGGGACUUUUUCGCGUUCUCGGCGUGAUGCGUACUUCGAAUUGGAACAGUACUUGGUCUCCGACUGAUGACGUAUCACGAGUACACGAGAACGCAAGUACGCACAAGUACGCAUAUUGAUAAACGCCCCCUGAAUUGGGACACAGCCAGUGGCUGCAGCCAGACCCUCUCGGUGAAGCUGACGGUGAGAAGAACACGAAGAAGUCGGUGUUUGUUUGUCCUGGUGCGCAGGCGUCAUGUGAGGGUGCAGUUCCUGCUGCGGCCUGCGGAGGCGGCAGAGCGCGGCACAGCGGCGAAGAAGAAGAAGCAGCGGCGCCAACAGCGAGCUGCUCGGUCCCACUCCUUUCUCUCCGCUUCAAGCCGCUUUAAAGACCGCAGCAUGAGGCCCGGACCUCCACCCUGACCGCCACCCGGAGCAGCCCGCGGAGCUCACAGCGCCGGUGCACAGCCGCCUGUUAACAGGUCCAAGUAACGGCUAACGGCGGCUUCACGGAGGAGACGAGGCGCUGUGACGUCACUGAGAAUCAAGGUGUUCCAGAUGAUUGUUGACGGUCACAGGAGGGAGGAGAGGAGGAGCAAGGAGGUGGGCUGCCAGUGGGAGAGCCCCGAGGAGGACAGGAAGGAGGUGGGCUGUCAGAGCCAGGCGGUGGAGAGGAGGGACGCCGCCGUCCAGGUGGAUCUGCUGACUCAGCAGCUGAGCUGGAGACACUCAGGUGAGACUCGGUGGGACGGGGCCUCCGUGGCUGAGACACUCUCUGAUUUAUAACUGGGCUCUCUGAAACACGGAGCUUCAAACUCAGGUCCAGUCCAACGUGUCUGUAAAGCAGCCUAAAAACAAACCAGCUGCACAUGAAACACAAACUGACUCAAACACAGGAAGCCUGCCAACACACAGGCCGUUACGCUGGUCGCUAUAGUGAUGCGCCAUAGUGCAGCUGUAAUAACAGUGUGUGUGAUGAAGGGCUCGACCUGAGGAAGGAGCAACCUGAUUCCACAGGCUAGACCUGGGCCCAGGUCCUCUGUGGCACCCAGAGGCCACGCAGAUCCACACAUACACAGCAGUGAAAUAAACGGCAGAGGGAAGAGAAGCAGGAAAGACUGAGCCGGCUGUCUGCUCCUGCAGCUCUGGGCCUUCCACACAAGCUUCACUUUCACGUGGAGCUGAUGAAGCUGAGGGUGGAGAGUCUUUGGCUGACGCAAUGUUUCUGAUGGAAACUGGCUCACGGUGCGUGUCUCUAUGAAUGUUGGAUAAAAGGGUGUGUGCCUCGUCGCCGAGCGCCGCCUUUGGGUUUAGAGCCUGUCGGCGUGCCACUCACCCGGCCACAAACGUAGAGUCAUGGGUGGAGUCACAGGUGAAGUCACGGUCCACGGGCUUUGUACUGAAGCCACCUCACAGGUGAGAAGAUGGUGAACUUCCUGUUCCUGUCCCACACCUGCUGAUUAGAAACACCUUCUGCCCAGGUGUUUCCUGGCACUGCGGCGCCAUCCGGGUGGAUGAACCAGCAGGGGGCAUUCUGCUGCAGCUCUGCAGGGGUCACACGUCACGCUGUGGGCCCUGCGCCACCGACCGCCCUGCCCUGCUACCCAGUGUGCCUCUGUUCUCCGAGCACGAGUCGUCUCCUUCAACCAGCAUGCCUCCCCUGACUCCUGUGGACGUCUCGGCUGCUCCUCCUGGACUCAUCGCUCCCCUGAGCCCGGGGCUGGCCGAAGACGAGGAGCAGGAAGAGGAGCAGGAGGUGCACGUACCUGAGGAGGAGCGACUCUGCUCUGAGAGCAUGGCAUUUAAAGAAAAGACGAAGAUGGAGGGGGGGAGGUGGCCUGAUGGAGGUGAAAGACAAAAGUCAUCACUGGCUGACAAAUCGACCAAUCACAUCGCAGGAAAACCACCCGGGAAGAGGAGGAGACUAAAGAUGAAACUUCUGGAGAAGGAUGAGGAGUCCCACACCAGCAAGCGAGGAGAGAAACAAACAACCUGGAUCCAAGAGAGGAAGAAGAACGAGGGGCAGGAGGAGGAGGAGAGGGGAGGGGAGGAGACCAUGAAAGAAGGGGGAAGAGUCAAAUCUGUCAUAAUGAAGACUGAGGAGGCGGAGUGUCAGAGACCGAGGAGGAGAAUGGUCGGUCCGACAGUCAGAUACCUGCUGGAGUCUGAGCAGCAGUCACAUGGGCCAACAGAGGCCAAUCACAGCAGAGCAAGCAGAGACGUGGGGAGGAGGAAGACGGGGAGGCCGAAGAAGGAGCAGAAGGAGCUGGAUGACAGCAGCACAAUGGAGUCCUCAGCAGACGGAGGAGCAGAGAGAUGGUGGAAGCUCUGCCAGGUGUGUGGUCUGAACUUCACCAGCCAGCCGUCUCUGGAUCUCCAUCUGUCCGUCCACAGACCGGCUUCGAGCUGCGCACAAGCUGCUGCUGACCAACAGCAAGAACAAACCAAUGACGCGAAGGGUGAUGCAGAGGAGAGGGAGGAGCCUCAGAGGCCAAGGAGGACAGUCUGCCAACCAAUCAGGUACCUACUGGAGUCAUCACAUGGUUCUGUAACAGCCAAUCAGACCAAUCGGGAGGCAGCUACCAAACCCACAAGAAGGAGAGGAAGAUCAAAAGAUGCUGUUGGGGGCAGGGCUUCAGAGGUGAUUGACAGGCCUGAGACUAAUGCUAAAGACACAGGUCACAUGGUCACAACAGGAGGAAGAGAGGAAGGAGAGGAGGAGCCUUACAGGCCAAAGAGGACGUUGGUUGGCCUCCUGGAGUCAGAGGAAACAUCAGGUGGUCUCAGAAUCUCCAAUCAGGACGCAGAAAACAAACCCACACAGUACAGGCGAAGAUCAAAAAAUGUUUUUGACUUCAAUGAGGCUGGGGGCGGGGCUUCAAAGAUGACUGACUGUUCUGAUACUGAAGAUAAAGAAAUGGGUCACACGGUCUCAACGGGAGGAAGACAGGAAGAGGAGGAGCCUCAGAGACCAGGAAAGACGGCGUCUGUCUUCCACCCGUCCGUCCACAGACCAAAGCGACUGUUCGGCUGUCACCUCUGCAACAGGAAGUUCAGCCGUGCCAGCAGACUGUUCCGGCACCAAUGUAAUCAGCACCACAGCAAUAUAGGUGGUCUCUGCGGCAAUGGAUGUGGGUCGGCCCUGAGCAACGCCCGAGCUCCUAAAAACAAACAGGAAAAACAGACCACCCAGGAUGACAAGGAGGAGCCUCAGAGGCCCAGGAAGCCCCUCUUCACAGCACCCACCGGGGCUCCUUAUUGGUCAAGAGACAUAAAUCGUGUGAGAAAAAGUCCCAGCUGGUUGGUCGACUACUGGACCCUGAACAAGAGGAGGAAUGGAAGGAGGGGGACGAAGAGGAGCAGAGUGGAGGAGGACGACGAGGAAAGGGAGGCGCAACAAGUCUGUGUGGAGAAGGAGGAGGGGCCUCAGAGGCCAAGGAGGACGACUGUUGGCCCACCAAUCAGGUACCUGCUGGAGUCAGAGGUGACAACACGGGGUUCUGGAAAAGCCAAUCAGACCAAUCAGAAGGCAGCUAACAAACACACAAGGAGAGGAAGAGCAAAAGACUCUGUUGGUGGCGGGGCUUCAAAGAUGACUGACUCUUCUGACAUUGAAGAUAAAGACACAGGUCACAUGGUCUCAAUGGGAGGAACACAGGAAGAGGAGCCUCAGAGACCAGGAACGACAGUCAGUCCACCAGUCAGGUACCUGCUGGAGUCGGAGGUAAUGUCACAUGAUUCUGGAACAGCCAAUCAGAAUGAUCAGGAGGCAGUUAUCAAACUCACAAGAAGGAGCGGAAGAUCAGAUGCUGUUGGCCUCUGUGAGGCUGGGGGCGGGGCUUCAGAGAUGAUUGACAGGCUUGACGCUAAAGAUAAAGACAGAAGUCACGUGGUUGUAAAGGGCAGAAGAAAGGAAGACGAGAAGAUGGAGGAGCCUCAGAGGCCGAGGAGGACGAUGGUCGGCCCACCAAUCAGGUACCUGCUGGAGUCAGAAGAGCUGUCAUGUGGUCAAAGAACAGCUAAUCAGGACACAGAAAACAAACCCACACACAGCAGACGGAGCCCAAAAAAGGCGUCUGUCCUCCACAGACCGAAGCGAGUGUUCGGCUGUCACAUCUGCAACAGAAAGUUCAGCCGUGCCAGCAGACUGUUCCUGCAUCAUUGCGAUCAGCACCGCAGCAUCUUAGACAGUCCCCACGGCAACAGAGUUGGCAUGGCCAUGAGCAGUGCUCGAGCUUCUGAUAGCAAACUGAAAGAAGGAACCCAGGGUAACGACGAGAAUGGGGAGGAGUCUCAGCGGCAGCGGAGGACUAGAGUUGGCCCACCAAUCAGAUACCUGCUGGAGUCAGAGGAGCCGUCACGUGGUCUUAGAGCAGCCAAUCAGAGUGCAGCAACCAAACCCACACAAAGGAAAGGAAGAAUGAAGGCUGGUGGCCUCACUAAGGCUGGGGGCGGGACUUCACAGAUAAUUGAUAGGUUUGAGGCUGCUGUUGCCACAGAGAGACAGACAGGUGUGCACAGACAGACUUACCUGGUUCACAGAGACCUGCAGGAUGGUCAGGUGACCAUCUCCCCCUGCUCUGUCACAAUGCAGCGCCUCCUCUGAUUGGCUGAUGACAUUCUUGUUAACCAUGUUUGUUGUAAUUUUUUGGUUUGGUUUCAGUGAUUUUAGGUGUGUGUCACACUCUUUGUUUUUGAACAAUAAAAUGAAAUAAUGUCCAGCUCCUUUUUUCUGUCCUGCUGUUCAUGGUUUCUAAUAAUGAGGUCAAAGGUCAGGCUGCA